GAGAUGACCUUAUAGAGAUGACUGCACCCCUGGUUAGUUAUGUUGACACUCAUUAAAUGAAGAUAAAUGUGUUGCUUUUCUCCUUAACGGAAAAGAUUUCCAAGCCGAAAUUUGGUGAGCAUAGGUUUGGCAUAAUGGGCAGUUGGCCCCGAACAAGAUGGCGUCGAGGCCUCAACGCUUUUUGAGUUUUCUGAAUCAUGUUUGAAUCAGACUAUACAUUGACUGGCUGGGUAUUUCGUGCCUCGUUUCACAGGUUGUGGAACAACAGGAAACAAAGUUUCAAGGGUCUAAAAGGAUACCCAUCACAAGACCAGAGCGGUCCUUCAAACUGAAUAGUUACUUCAGACUGAACAUUCCCUGUUCUACAGCCAUCAAUCCACCGAGGAUUCAUCUCAUACAAAGAGACACCACACCAAGCUUUUUCAAGGCGAUUGUGAAAAUAACAGGGAUUGACAUUGAGAUGGAGUUAUUCAGUGAUGAUGAGAGGACAGUAUGGAAAGAAAUUGUAUCACGAGAUGAAUACUAUCAGAACCAAGCAUUAACACUCUCUGGGAUUCCUGCUGAGGCGUUUCUGAAGAAACACAGGGCUGAACUCAUUCAGGGAGUCAAAAACCCAAUGCCAAUAGCAGAUGAUCUGUUGUCAAAGAGCAUGAUUGGUGAUGAAGAGUACUCCAGAAUAAAAGCUGAAACAACUGAACAGGAGCGAAUGAGAGAACUACUGAAUGCAGUCCUCCCUAAAGGACCAGAAGUGAUGGGAGCUUGUCUCAAAGCUCUCAGUGAACAUGAACACCAUCUUGUUAAGUACUUGAGAGAAUCUGGCACCUAAUCUGAAGAUACUGAGGCCUGUCUCCUAGUCUGUGGACAAAGACACUUCUCCACCUAAUCUGAAGAUACUGAGGCCUGUCUCCUAGUCUGUGGACGAAGACACUUCUUCACCUAAUCUGAAGAUGCUGAGGCCUGUCUCCUAGUCUGUGAACAAAGACACUUCUCCACCUAAUCUGAAGAUGCUGAGGCCUGUCUCCUAGUCUGUGGACAAAGACACUUCUCCACCUAAUCUGAAGAUGCUGAGGCCUGUCACCUAGUCUGUGGACAAAUACACUUCAUCUAAUCUGAAGAUGCUGAGGCCUGUCUCCUAGUCUGUGGACAAAGACACUUCUCCACCUAAUCUGAAGAUGCUGAGGCCUGUCUCCUAGUCUGUGGACAAAGACACUUACAUGAUUGUAAGGGAAGACCCCCCCCCCUGAAAUGGAUAAAAAUUAAUGGGAACAUAUUGGCAAUGUACGAAACAUAUGCACGGUGUCCAAUACCACUCAAAUAUACGCCAUUUCAUUCAAAGCUUAUGGCAAAUGUCAUAGGGCAAAUGCCAAGUGUCAUACAGCAAAAAUCCAAAAGAUGGCGAGCGCGCUCCACCGUAGAUUUUCAUAUUGCAAAUGCACAUCAAGUCAAGACCCAAGAGUCACAUUUUGAAAAUUUGAAUUUCUUCUAAAACUUAUCAACCCCCUAAAAAAGGUCUUUCUGGACCGUUUUUCGAAUAUCAUUAGAUUUAUUUUGUCAAUUAUACAUGUAUAAGAACAGUAUGAACAUACUUUUGUCAUAUUUUAUUGUCAUAAUUAAAAAUAUAUUUUUAUUACUUGUCCAUUAGGCAUAUGUUUUGUCCAUUUGCAAUAUGAUUUCAUAGGAAGUCAAAAGUCGAAGUCAAAAGUCAGUGAACCAUUGCCAAAUGCCAUAAGAAAUGUCCAAAUGCAAUAUGAAAUUAUUGAACGUGCCAAAUCAAGAUGUUAUGUCCAUUUGCCAUGUACGAUCAUAGGAAGUCGGUUUCCAAACGCAAAAGUCAGUGAAUCAUGUCCAAAUGGCAUUUAUCCUGCCCAAAUGAUAUAUAGCACUAUGUUAAGCCAUGAAUCAACCUAGAUGGUCUAUUUGUCAUGUAUGAUGAGGGAGAAGUGGGACUCUGUUGUUUUUUAAUGAUUUUUUUGAAAAAGGUCCAGCACGACCAGGGGCUCCCCCUAUUGGAUUGGCACGGGUGGGGGGGGGGGCUCCCUACCCUACUAUAGACCCAUUGCUCCCCCCUAAUGGCAUUACAACCCAUUUGAAAAAUAUGCUCCUGGUAUCCCGUUCCAUACACCAGGUGCACGCCUGUCCAUAUGCAAUAUGUUUCAAUGGGCGUAUACCAUCACGAAUUUGACAUGCUCAAAACUCCUGCAGAAAUGCAAAAUUGACUGGCCAGAUGAACUCUGGAUGGCCGGGCAGUGAUCGUGGUUCCUCUCAAUCGCUCGUUGUGUUGAUUUCAUCAUGUCCAUUUGGUGAUGUUUUUUCACUGUUGAAUCUUAUUGCAAAUGUACUGUUCAUUUGCAAUAAGUUUAAAUGGGCAUUUACCAUCACGAAUUUGACAUGCUCAAAACUCCUGCAGAAAUGCAAAAUUGACUGGCCAGAUGAACUCUGGAUGGCCGGGCAGUGAUCGUGGUUCCUCUCAAUCGCUCGUUGUGUUUAUUUCAUCAUGUCCAUUUGGUGAUGUUUUUUCACUGUUGAAUCUUAUUGCAAAUGUACUGUUCAUUUGCAAUAAGUUUAAAUGGGCAUUUACCAUCACGAAUUUGACAUGCUCAAAAAUACUGCAGAAAUGCAAAUUUGACUGGUCCGAUGAACUCGGGAUGGCUGGGCAGGGAUAGUGGUUCCUCUCCAUCGCUCAUUGGUGUUGAUUUCAGAAUGUCAAUUUGGUGAUGGUCUAUCACUGUUUUAACAUAUUGCAAAUGGACAAAAGUCAGCCAGAAAGUCACAGUCCAUCAGUCAAUUAGAUAUCAUUUUGAAACCAAACUGAUACAAACGGACACCACACCCACUUUUUCCAACUCGUUUAGAAACCAACUAUCACAUAUUUUAGAGCAUGCCCAUAAUACACAGCUCCUUCUGUUUAAAGCAUAAUAAAAACAUAAAAUACGAAGUUACGUUCUAGCUGCGGGUCCAGUUCCAACAGUAUGUGUAGGCCUAGCUGAAUCCCAAGUUUCGGCUUGAUAGGUUAUUUGGAGCCCGAGCAGCGAUCUUAAUUGGUGCUGAAAAUCCACAUAUUCCGGCUGUUGCUAUGGGGUCCUUGAAUGAGCUAUCGGACAGAAACGUUGGGGUCCGUCUCUAUGGGCUGAGGUGGUUUCAAUGCACCAAGUCUUGUGACGCUGGGACUUUUCUAAAUGUCGUCAUUUUCGUAAUGGUCAAAAUGAAUUGAAGUUAUUCCAAAUGUACGAGGCUGUUUCUCAGUCUGAGAACCUUCUAGAGCCACAUAACUCACUGUGCAUUAUCACAUUGAGCUCCUGAACAGGUUUCUAAAGUUCCAGAGCUCUAGGUCUGAUGGUUCUUUGAUAGUUUGAAUGAAGGUGACUAUUGCAGGCUCUGUAUGUCUCUAAGCCCCACACUGUGUCACUAUGUCCUAGCUGUGUGUGAGCUUUUCUUGGAAAUCUGAUGGGAGAAAUGACUGAUUUACAGUUCAUGAGGGUUACCUAGUCACACAUUGGAAGUUUUGAAAUGAUCUGACCAUUUUAGCCCUUUGAAACAGCCACUAUGACCACAAUUUAAGGCACUUCUGGUUGGCACAGGAAGCUAUAAGUAAACACAUAUCCUCUUUGGGGUAGGCUUUUACAGAAUCCUGAGUUUAAAGUCUUUACGUCAAGUUUUGACUGAUCUACACAGGGUUGAAUGCAGUGAUUUUCACAAAUGCAGGUUAUGUACAUCUACACACCUUUUGGGUGAAUUUAACCACUUCUGGUUGCUCCAGGAAGCAUAUAAUCGACACAGGUAGACCUCAUAGUGGCCUGAUGGAUUGUUAUCGAAGACAGGUUCAUAGGACAUUCAUUACCCACAUAGGUUUCAGGUUGAAUUUAGGGGUGCAGGUAAUGUAUUCGUAUGGGGAAAGAAGUCAAUGCAAACUGUUUGAUGUAAACACCUUCUUUUCACUGUUAAUAAGGGUUAAUGCCAAAUGGUCAACGUUAGCUUGCACAGAUCGAGAGGACCUCAGGAACGUUCCUGAGGUCGAAUUGUGCUUCUAACCCUAACGGUUCUCCCGCUGUCACCCAAAAGCACCUGAAAUUUAGGGGCAGGCUUCAUUUUGGGCCUUCUUUUUUUCACGGUCACUGCGCUCAGACCGAGCAAGCUAUGAUCAAGUGGGGCAUCUUGUUGAACUCGACACAGCCUAGAGAUUAUGGUAAUGCCAUGUGUCUUCAAGCCCCGCACUGUAUCACUCUAUCCUUGCUGUGUGUGUGUGUGUGUGUGUGUGAGAGCUUUUCUUUGACAUCUGUUGGGAGAAAUGACUGAUUUACUGUUCAUGAGGGUUGCCACAAUUAGGACGUUUUGGAAAGAUGUGAUCGUUUUAACACUUUGAAACAGCCCCUAUGACCCCAAUUUAAGGCACUUCCGGUUGACACAGGACGUUGAAAGUGAACACAUAUCCUCCUUGGGGUAGGCUUUAAGUCUUUUUGUUAAAAACUGGCUUAUUUACAGUGUUGAAUGAUUUGAGUGUUAUUUCAGAAAAUCACAGAAAUCACGUAGAGUUCCGAAACCCACUUUAGCCUGUUGCGACUCUAGGGGCAGUAUUUUCAUUUUUUGGAUAAGAAACGUUCCCGUUUUAAACAAGAUAUUUUGUCACGAAAAGAUGCUCGACUAUGCAUAUAAUUGACAGCUUUGGAUAGAAAACACUCUGACAUUUCCAAAACUGCAAAGAUAUUGUCUGUGAGUGCAACAGAACUGAUGUUACAGGCGAAACCCAGAUAAAAAUCCAAUCAGGAAGUGCCGCAUUUUUUGAAACCGCCUCAUUCCAAUGACUCCUUAUAUGGCUGUGAAUGAGCUACGAAUGAGCUUACGUUUUCUACGUAUUCCCCAAGGUGUCUACAGUAUUGUGACGUCUUUUUACGCAUUUAUGUUGAAGAAUAGCCGUAAGGGACCACAUUUAGCAAGUGGUCACAUGAUGUCUCCCGCAGAAAAUCUUGCGUAAAGUACACAAGUAGCCAUUUUUCCAAUUGCUUCUUAUGAGAAACCAAUUGUCCCGACGGAUAUAUUAUUGAAUAGAUAUGUGAAAAACACCUUGAGGAUUGAUUCUAAACAACGCUUGCCAUGUUUCUGUCGAUAUUAUGGAGCUAAUUUGGAAAAAAGUUUGGCGUUGUAGUGACUGCAUUUUCAGGUCAAUUUCUCAGCCAAACGUGAAGAACAAACGGAACAAAUAAAGCAUAUUUUGAAAAUCUGAGAUGACAGUGUGAUUAACAAAAGGUUAAGCUGUGUCUCAAUAUAUUUCAUUUAUGAUUUUCAUGAAUAGGAAGAUUUUCUAGGAAGAUUUAUGUCUGCUGCGUUAUUCUAAUUAGUUUGAGGCUACGUUACGCUCCCGCAUACGGGUUUGAGAGUCAUGAGAAGUUAACGGAUUCGUGUGAACAUGCCGCAACCGGAUCUGUAACCAAGCCUAUGCUCACCAAGUUUCAUCUUCAAAGUCUUUUCCGUUUUUGGAGAAAUGGCCAUGAAGUGAUUGGUGAUGUUUUGUACAUUUGCAAUAUGAUUACAUUUGCCAUCUGGUAGUAUUUACCGGGACAGCAGAAAAAUAACCAAAAUUUGAAAAUUGUAUAAAACGUAAACCGAAUGUCUGAGAGACUUCGUUCGAUGACUUCUCGGGAAGAUCUGGCCCCGGUGCACGGCCCGCCACCAUCUGCAAAUUUUUGAAACAUUUGCGGACGUCUAGUAAGGGACCGUACAUUUGCAAUAUGGAGUUUCUCAUCAAUCAUACAGAAAAUGACAGAAAGUGCCCUUCAUGUACGGAAGGGAAAUUAUGUUUGCUGUUCUUAUAACAAAUGCUGUGUUUUAUUCAUGUGCUGUUUUAUAAACCCAUGUCUGUGUUUUAUUCAUGUGCUGUUUUAUAAACCAAUGUGUGUUCAUUAAGUGGCUGACUGUACAAAUCCUCACUAUCAGUAGCUGUAAUUUGGCAGUAAGGCCAGACGUUGGUUUGAGAACGAGAUAUCUCAGUUUCAAGGUCUCAGCUUAGAGAGAAGAAGACUGGUGAGGUGUUGGUCUGUCAAAUGUUAUGAACCAGUAUUGGUCGGUCACAUGAAUGAAGCAAACAGUAAUGAUUCAUUAAUUAUGCUAAAUCAUGCAAAUUUAACUUGUCUGUGUAUCACCAGGCAGAGUAGACAGGCAGGAUGGUACAACAUGUUCUUGGGGAGCUGGACCCCUGUCUUUGUUCACAGCUUCAGAUCAACAGUUGUAGUCAACCCCUGGAGGUGGGGAGACCAGGCAGAGUAGACAGGCAGGAUGGUUCAACAUGUUCUUGCUGUCUGCUGCUUUAAUUCAGGGUCACAACAAUGUACAGAAAAUGUCAAUCAAACAUGACCACUAAAAUAACAAUAAACUUACUGAAGGAC